UGUAAGCGUAUACCAAAGUUGUUGCAGUUAAAACGCUCGUAGUCGGACUUUGGCAGUUCCGGAAGUGUGCACGUCGUGUGCGCACUUUGCGGGGACUGCUUUUGUGGUCUUGCGUAGGAUGAGGCACUUUCAUUAGUGAACGUCCUCACGCAACCACUCUUUACUGUGAGAAAAUCAGAGUGCUCAAAGCAGGCAUUUGCCGUGAAUGUAUUAGCAUGGAAUAAUAGAAUAGGACUCGGUUCUAUUUUGCUGGUUUGUUGGGACUGAGUAAUGAUUAAGAGGGACAGUUGGGGGCAUUUGUAUUCCGGCGCUAGAGGUGAAAUUCUUAGAUUGCCGGAAGACAAACUGCUGCGAAAGCGUCUGCCAAGGAUGUUUUCAUUGA
rnacentral:rRNA from 1 species